UACGUAGGAGGCGAGCGUUGUCCGGAAUUAUUGGGCGUAAAGAGCUCGUAGGCGGUCUGUCGCGUCGGAUGUGAAAAUCCAGGGCUCAACCCUGGACCUGCAUUCGAUACGGGCAGACUAGAGUUCGGCAGGGGAGACUGGAAUUCCUGGUGUAGCGGUGAAAUGCGCAGAUAUCAGGAGGAACACCGGUGGCGAAGGCGGGUCUCUGGGCCGAUACUGACGCUGAGGAGCGAAAGCGUGGGGAGCGAACAGG
rnacentral:rRNA from 1 species